UACGGGGGGGGCAAGCGUUGUUCGGAAUUACUGGGCGUAAAGGGCGCGUAGGCGGCCUGCUAAGUCGGAUGUGAAAUCCCUCGGCUCAACCGAGGAACUGCAUCCGAUACUGGCGGGCUUGAAUCCGGGAGAGGGAUGUGGAAUUCCAGGUGUAGCGGUGAAAUGCGUAGAUAUCUGGAGGAACACCGGUGGCGAAGGCGGCAUCCUGGACCGACACUGACACUGAGGAGCGAAAGCCAGGGGAGCAAACGGG
rnacentral:rRNA from 1 species